rnacentral:other from 1 species
GGAAAUCUGUGAUGUGCGCGUUGUCCUUAUUUAGUGUUGACCGAACAUUUUAUUGAUAUCUUGGGAUCCGUCCGGUGUUAUAGUUGGUAACAAGCCUUUUCAUUUGGUAGUUCGAUACUAUGACCGUGGAGCCCACCUGCUUGAGUUUGCGGGAUCAAUACUCCAGGACGAUUAACGGCAUCUACGGAUAGUAC